GGGGAUCCUAUCUGGCUUUGGAUCACUUAUGAACAAGUUGACUGGUGGUCAAGGAGGGGUCAUUGUCAACACAGCAUCCAUGGCAGGUCUUGGUCCUGUAAUAUGCUGUCCUGUCUACACAGAUACCAAGCAUGGAGUGGUCGGCUUCACUCGGGCCAUGGCCGGUAUAAAGAGGCCUCUGCUGCAUCCAGCUAAGGUGUACGGUUCAAUGCCCUCUGUCCAGGUUACGUUGAAACAGUUCUCUUAUCCAACAUUUCAAAGAAUAUGGGACAGUUCUCACACCUGAAUGAACAGAACCAAGAAUCUGUGGAAAAGCUUGGGAUUUUAAAUGUGAGCAAGGUAGCUGAAUGCUUCCUUGAGCUGGCGACAGAUGAGAUGAAGAACGGAGAAGCCCUCAUGGUGCACAGCAAAGGACAGAUGUACAUCACAUUUCCUCCCUCACUUGUUUAGCUGUUGGCAGUGUCAAACCACAGCAACAUGGGA